rnacentral:lncRNA from 1 species
CAGGAAGCCAGGCUGGGAGUUGGGAAUUGCAGCUGGGGCUUACAGGGACCUCCCCUUUCUCUGGGAACAAGGGGUUGGCGUUGUGCCACCCUGGUGGACAGCUGCUGGGGCCAGUGGAAAAGCAUUGGGCCUGGAUGUAAAAUUGAAGAGAGAAGAGAGAAGAAAGAGAGAAGAGAGAAGAGAGAGAUAAGUUUAAUGCUGAGCACUUACCACGGGCUUUUACUUCACUGUUUCUCAUCACUGGAGUCAACUGACUACAGCUCUUCUCAAAAGAGGGAGAGGAGAGCCUUGUCCCAUGCUGAGGAAGGUGCUGAAGGUGG